AGGCACGUAGCUCAGGUGGUAGAGCGCUACCUCGACGCGGUAGAGGUCGACGGUUCGAUACCGUCCGUGCCUACCA
rnacentral:tRNA from 1 species